rnacentral:rRNA from 1 species
GUGAGGAAUUUUGCGCAAUGGCCGCAAGGCUGACGCAGCAACGCCGCGUGGGUGAUGAAGGCCUUCGGGUCGUAAAGCCCUGUCAGGUGGGAAGAAAGGCCUUAAGGAGAAAGACUUGAGGUUUGACGGUACCACCAGAGGAAGCACCGGCUAACUCCGUGCCAGCAGCCGCGGUAAUACGGAGGGUGCGAGCGUUAUUCGGAAUUACUGGGCGUAAAGCGCGUGUAGGCGGGGGGACAAGUCUGAUGUGAAAGCCCUGGGCUUAACCUGGGAAGCGCAUUGGAAACUGUUUUUCUUGAGUACUGGAGAGGAAGGGGGAAUUCCCGGUGUAGAGGUGAAAUUCGUAGAGAUCGGGAGGAAUACCAGUGGCGUAGGCGCCCUUCUGGACGGUAACUGACGCUGAGACGCGAAAGCGUGGGGAGCAAACAGGAUUAGAUACCCUGGUAGUCC